UACGAAGGGGGCUAGCGUUGUCCGGAAUCAUUGGGCGUAAAGAGCGUGUAGGCGGCCCGGUAAGUCCGCUGUAAAAGUCAAAGGCUCAACCUUUGAAUGUCAGUGGAUACUGCCGGGCUAGGGUCCGGAAGAGGCGAGUGGAACUCCUGGUGUAGCGGUGGAAUGCGCAGAUAUCAGGAAGAACACCAACGGCGAAGGCAGCUCGCUAGGACGGUACUGACGCUGAGACGCGAAAGCGUGGGGAGCGAACAGG
rnacentral:rRNA from 1 species